UGCUUCUCCUAUAUCGUUUUAGAAUUGGUUUGUCUCUUUUCUGUAGUAGAUAUGUAGCACAACUAUUUGUUGAAAUGCCCCACUGGAAUGACUUAAUUCUUAAUCUCACUGUUGUUAGUUAAUCCUGCUCAACUACAUGAGUUCAUCACCUGCAUCAACCUCUACAUGAGUUCUGACCCUUUUUCUUUUGCGUGGAAUUAGAUUUUUGCAUGCUAUGGUGCACCUGCUUCACACUAUUGAUUCACAUGAAUAGCUGUAAUUUUACGCAAACUGUAUCUGUAUGGGUUAGGUCAUUGUUAGGUGAACUGGUGGGGGCGAUUUCUAAUUUUCUUAAGUUUAUUGUGCCCACAUGCUGUUUACCAGAUUGUAUGAGUUCAAGGUUCUGUUGUGACAGCUUUCAUAUUUGAAGCGAAGUUAAACUCGGAACCCCUCAUCAUCAUUUAAUUUGACUAUCUAGUUGUCACAAACAUAUGCAUGUUCAGUGAUAGUUUCUCUGACACAUAGAGCAAUCAUCAUUGAGGCUGCACCUCACUUUGAAUUUAAUUUACCUUAUGGUGUUGUAAGGUUGGAGAAAGUUACUUUGAUAUUCGAAUGAAGUGUGAUAGCAAAUAGGAUAGUGUUGCUCUUUGUACAGAUCAGUUAAUUACAAUAUUACUAAUUUGCUAUGCCAAUUCAUGUUCCACUAGUAUGUCUUGAUCUAUAACCUUGGAAGCUUCUUGUUAUGUACUAUAUAUUUGAAGAUCAGAUAGAUGUCUUUCUCGACAGCUGGAGCACAAGCAACAACAUUACAGAUCAAGUUCAAUUUCUCUCAGGUUGCAUCACUCCGAAGGAGCUCUGACAUUGACAUGACCAGCUAAGAUGGAUGCAAAAAAUUGAGUUUGUGCAAAGUCACAUUCGAGCAAGUUAGUCUAUAUAUGUGAUUCCAUGCUGAAUCAAGAGCUUAUGAUAUUAUAUGUAAUGAGAUGUUAGUUAAAACAUUAUUCUUGUGAUGAUGACCGCUGAGAUGUUGGUUCAAACUUUAUUCAUGUGAUGAUGACUGACCUGAUUUAAACUACUAUUUUGGUAAAUUGGAUGAUAACUUUUGUA